rnacentral:antisense_RNA from 1 species
AGCAACGCUCUUGAGUCAUCGUUAAACAAAUUAGUCCACGGCCAUGAGUCGCCAUAAAGUUAAUCGCUUCUGCACUAAUGUGUUCAGCAGCAAUAAUU